GACGAACGCUGGCGGCGUGCUUAACACAUGCAAGUCGAACGCUGAAGCUUGGUGCUUGCGCGGGGUGGGUGAGGGGCGCACGGGUGAGUCAUACGUGUGUAACCUGCCCUUGACUCUGGGAUAAGCAUGGGAAACUGGGUCUAAUACUGGAUAAGACAUGCCACUGCAUGGUGGUGUGUGGAAAGGGGUUUGCUGGUUGUGGAUGGGCUCACGGCCUAUCAGCUUGUUGGUGGGGUAAUGGCCUACCAAGGCGCCGACGGGUAGCCGGCCUGAGAGGGUGACCGGCCACACUGGGACUGAGACACGGCCCAGACUCCUACGGGAGGCAGCAGUGGGGAAUAUUGCACAAUGGGCGGAAGCCUGAUGCAGCGACGCCGCGUGCGGGAUGACGGCCUUCGGGUUGUAAACCUCUUUCAGCACGGAAGAAGCGAGAGUGACGGUACGGGCAGAAGAAGCGCCGGCUAACUACGUG
rnacentral:rRNA from 1 species